GAUGAACGCUGGCGGCGUGCCUAAUACAUGCAAGUCGAGCGAACGGACGAGAAGCUUGCUUCUCUGAUGUUAGCGGCGGACGGGUGAGUAACACGUGGAUAACCUACCUAUAAGACUGGGAUAACUUCGGGAAACCGUAGCUAAUACCGGAUAAUAUUUUGAACCGCAUGGUUCAAAAGUGAAAGACGGUCUUGCUGUCACUUAUAGAUGGAUCCGCGCUGCAUUAGCUAGUUGGUAAGGUAACGGCUUACCAAGGCAACGAUGCAUAGCCGACCUGAGAGGGUGAUCGGCCACACUGGAACUGAGACACGGUCCAGACUCCUACGGGAGGCGGCAGUAGGGAAUCUUCCGCAAUGGGCGAAAGCCUGACGGAGCAACGCCGCGUGGGUGAUGAAGGUCUUCGGAUCGUAAAACUCUGUUAUUAGGGAAGAACAUAUGUGUAAGUAACUGUGCACAUCUUGACGGUACCUAAUCAGAAAGCCACGGCUAACUACGUG
rnacentral:rRNA from 1 species